UACGUAGGGGCAAGCGUUGUCCGGAUUUAUUGGGCGUAAAGCGCGUGUAGGCGGCCAGGUAGGUCGGUUGUGAAAACUGGAGGCUCAACCUCCAGACGUCGACCGAAACCAUCUGGCUAGAGUCCGGAAGAGGAGAGUGGAAUUCCUGGUGUAGCGGUGAAAUGCGCAGAUAUCAGGAAGAACACCGAUGGCGAAGGCAGCUCUCUGGGACGGUACUGACGCUGAGACGCGAAAGCGUGGGGAGCGAACAGG
rnacentral:rRNA from 1 species